rnacentral:rRNA from 1 species
GUCCAUUUGGGGAUAUAAAUGGUCUGGCCUGCUCACUGAUAAAAUUAUUUAAGAGCCGCGGUAUAUUGACCGUGCAAAGGUAGCAUAAUCAUUAGGGAUUUAAUUGGGACCUGGUAUGAAGGGUUGGACAAAGGAAAAACUGUCUUUAUAAUAAAGGUUGAAAUUUACCUUUAAGUGAGAAGGCUUAAAUGUUUCAAAGGGACGAUAAGACCCUAUAAAGCUUCAUAGAUCAUUUAAAUUUGAUAAAUUUGCNAAAUAAAAGGUUAAGUUUAAUAAUUCUAUUUUGUUGGGGUGAUGCGUGUAUAACUACUAUUAACUGCUUGAAAUAAAUACUAUUAUAAGAGAGUUACUAUUAUAUGAUCCUUUAUAAAGAUUUAAAGACUAAGUUACUUUAGGGAUAACAGCGUUAUUUCUCUUGAGAGUUCAUAUUGAAAGAGAAGAUUGCGACCUCGAUGUUGAAUUAAAAUAUCUAUAUGAUGCAGCCGUUAUAAAAGAAGGUCUGUUCAAC